UCCUUCCUUCCUUCCUUCCUUCCUUCCUUCCUUCCUAGGCUCCUGGACCCUGAGAUCCAGCCCAAGCCCGGAGCUGAGAUGGAGGGUGUGAUGCUCAACCGGCUGAGUCACCCAGGUGCCCCUCUGUGUUGUUUCUUAAAUUGCAUGUGAAUCUACAAUUUUCUGCAAAGAAAAAGAUCAAAAGAAGAAGGUCCAAGGCCAAGAAAGGAUCCCUGUGCUUCCCUGCCGUGAGGGAUGCUCCCCGCAGGGGAAGUGUGCAUGUGCGUAGCUUGAUGAACUGUGACCCAGGGAGGCUGGAGGCACUAAAGCUGUGUUUGAGGCAGAAAUGAGUCACAGGGUGAGUCACCAAGCAGGAGGCUCGAGGGCGUGGGCUCCCGGCAGCCUCUGGCACCAGCUCAGCUCCAGCCUCACCUUGGGUACGUAAAAAUGACCGAAUAAUAUGCCAUUGUACGUGUAUAACGCAUUUUGUUUUUCCAUUCAUCUGUGGGAUUUGGAUUGUUG
rnacentral:lncRNA from 1 species